UUCACUUCCGGCCGGAAAUGCGUUUGCGGAGCUGUUUCCGCCGGGGAGAAGAACUCGCGUGCUUCGUACAGAGUGGAAUGUAGACUGUGAGAGGGCCGUGGAUACUUCAGAAGGCGCUCGUGGGAUUUGGAAGCCACUCCCGGGGCUCCCACGGGAGGAAGCUGACCCGGGGCCCGCAAACGGCCGCGGGAUGGGCGGGGGUUGUAGGAGGUCUCUGCCCCGGCCUCAUCACCGGCGGUGCACGAGGUCAUCCGCUUAAAUUGAGUUAUAUUUUUUUCCACCCAGAAAAUGAAAUACACAAUCCCCAGCGACUGGACGAAAGCACGCAGUAACUCCUUUCUUCCGAGGAGAGUUUCAAGUGACUUCAGCUUGGGUGACCCAGGUCAUUUGACUGGAAGAUUGGUCCGUGUGCACUGGAUGUGAAUCUGGCCCUACUGCGUGUACCCGGACCUGUUGGGUUUGACUCUUGAUUUGCUUCUUUGGGUGUUGACUGGCUGAGGACUGCUGUGUGUGGUGGCUGCAAAUAAAUGGAGCUUGACCUCUCUCUGUU
rnacentral:sRNA from 1 species